AGUGAACGCUGGCGGUAUGCCUAACACAUGCGAGUCGAACGGCAGCACAGUAAGAGCUUGCUCUUACUGGUGGCGAGGGGCGGACGGGUGAGGAAUACAUCGGAAUCUACUUUUUCUUGGGUGAUAACGUAGGGCCACUUAUGCUAAUACCGCAUACGACCUACGGCUGAGUGCAGGGGAUCUUCGGACCUUGCGCGAUUGUAUGAGCCGAAGUCGGAUUAGCUAGUUGGCUGGGUAAAGUCCCACCAAGGCGACGAUCCGUAGCUGGUCUGAGAGGAUGAUCAGCCACACUGGAACUGAGACACGGUCCGGACUCCUACGGGAGGCAGCAGUGGGGAAUAUUGGACAAUGGGCGCAAGCCUGAUCCAGCCAUACCGCGUGAGUGAAGAAGGCCUUCGGGUCGUAAAGCCCUUUUGUUGGGAAAGAAAAGCAGUAGGUUAAUACGCCGCUGUUCUGACGGUACCCAAAGAAUAAGCACCGGCUAACUUCGUG
rnacentral:rRNA from 1 species